AUACUUACCUGGCAAGGGAGACACCGUGAUCACCAGGCGGUUCACCCAGGGCGAGGCUCGCCAUUGCACUCCGGCUGUGCUGACCCCUGCGAAUUUCCCAAAUGUGGAAAUCUCGAUUGCAUAAUUUCUGGUAGUGGGGGACUGCAGUUUCGCGCUCUCCCCUC
rnacentral:snRNA from 1 species